AUGGAGGAAAAGAAAUACCACCGAUGCAUUGGUGUAUUCCUCCAUGGUUUCAAUGACAGAGGAGAUACCUCACGGUGGGGCCGUGCCAUCGAUGAAAUGUCGAGUUUCAGAGUGAUUUGCCUGCUCUUCAAUGAUCACAUCGGGGUAUGUGAUAACAUUGGCACGGCGAACGCCUACGUGUUCGAAGAGGGAUGGAGGGGGAAGCGUGCCAGCUGGUUCAUCGUCAAGUACCCAGAGAGGGCCAGUCCUGAAUUCCGCUUCCAUGCCACGGAAUCCCUGCAUUUCCUUGGUCGUGCCCAAAUUUCUAUCUUCUGGGCCAUGCAAGAUGACCCUUCCUCUAUGCUAACCUAUAAUUUCCAGUGGAAAGACGAGUUUGAGAUCCUCGCAUUGCCGGACCACAUCCGAGGAUCGGCUUUGUGGGUACUCAAUAUCAACGACGACAUGGUGCAUCUUGCUUGCUUGCAGGGCGACAACCUUUGCAUCUUUGUGGCAAGGCGGUAUGAUAGCCCUGACUGGGAGCUUCAGAAGAGCCUACAAUUAAUGGAGGCUACUCGUGGACUGGAAGGGCACAAGGAUGAGUACUUCCGUCAGCCUACGAAGAUUGUCUCAACCAGCACGAGCUCUAUCGUGUUUUCUAUGGCAGAGGGGAAAUGGCUGUUUUCCAUCGACUUUGAGAGCAUGGAGGUGGCGAAAUACAAAUACAAGCCGCAUUCUUUUGAAACCGUAGCUUAUCCGUGUGAGCUUCCAUGGCUACCUGCCAUUCGUGCUUGUAUUGUGCCUUGUACUACUACCAGAUGGGGCAAUCGCGGAUGUUCUGGUAUUUGUAUAUGUCGAAGUCUCUAA
rnacentral:rRNA from 1 species